UUUACUGAAAAUAAGUUUUGGCCGACAUUAGGCUCUCACCGCGUAUGCUUUUCACAGGUUUACACAAGAAGUUCGUACGACUGGCGUGCUAGUGGACAACACUCAGAGUCUUCGCCGUCGUACGGUGCUUACUAAUGAGAAUGUGAUUUUCAUUUCGGCGGCCAUGUUAACAAGUAAAACUGCCAUAUCUGGGUAACGAAACGAGCACAUGAUCGUCGAGAAGCCAAUGCAUUCUCAUAGGGUCACAGUUUGGUGCGGAUUUUUCAGCGGUGGCGCAUUUUUCCUUGAAAAUGCUGUUGGAAACACCAUUUCGGUUAAUGCAACAAAGAAAUGAUAAACGAUUUUUUUUUACCGGAAAUGUAAGGCAUGGACUCGGACGAACUUUGCUUUCAGCAGAAUGGCGCGCAAUGCCACAAUCGAUAUCUUGCGCCCAAGUUCGGUAAGCGUGUUACAAGCCAUGUCGGCGAUAUCAAUUAGUCACUUCAGGCCUGAGAUUUGACGCCGCUGGACUUUGCUUUUAAUAAUAUCGUCAAGGACCGAUCAAUUCAUUAUCGAUUCAGGCCCUUAAGGUCGGUGUCUGUUUUCUUAUCGGUGGUAUUUGCCAGUAUUUGUAGCACUGUGACAAACUGGUAAGCUCUUUUUAGUCGGAUGGAGAGAUACCACCGAGCAUCAGAAAGGGCUGACUGUUAAUACUAAAAUAUAAAAUAAAAUACUAUUAAUAAUACUUAAAAGUUAGUCAAUAAUAAAAAAAAAAUCAUGGAAAACAAUUUUUAUGAAUUCUAAAUCCAUGAAAUUCUCAAAGGUCUUUAUUUAGGUAGUUGUGUCCGACUUUUUCUGAAAAAAAAAAAAUCAGUUGUGGAGUCCACACUGAGUAGCAAUAACGAUAUCAAAAUCUUUUUGAAAUAUUCGUUGUUUGAACCUCUCCUCUUUACCAUUUGGUUGCGCGUAAUUAUUUAUUCAUACCAUUUCUUAAAAAAAUUCAAACAAUUGAAUGAAUUUAUAUUCUAGUUGUUUUGAAGUAGUAAAAACGAUGCCACAAAAAAGCAUGUAAACUGGUUUUUUAUGCGGGAGAAAUAUUAAGUAGCUUUAGCGGCUUUCACGCGAUCAAUGUCAGUCGUUCAUGCAUACAUUCAUACAUUUGUUCGACUUUUUGCCAAACAUACAUAUUUACGUGUUGGUAUGUUUAUCUAGAAUGCGUGAUCUCAGUUGAUUGUAUGCAUUGCACAAUUGCUAUAAAUAAUAAAUAUUUAAUGACACCAAAAAAUUGCCGCUAAGUAUAAAUGUCAAUAGUCGGCGAUUUGGAGAAAUACUUUUAACGAUUUAUUCAAUUUAUUAAGGAAAAAGUAUGUUUUAACCUAAAUACAUACGUAAAGCACGCCUUCAAUGUACAUGAUACUCGGGCGCUUUUAGAGAAAUAGAGUAAAUUCUUCUGAUAUUUAUAAAAAAAUUUUAAUAACUGUAGUCUGCCACAAAAAUAUUUUUUUACCACCUUAAGGUUAACAAAAAUGAAUUUAGCAUUUUAUCAACCUAAGCUAAAGUCAUGUACUUAUAUAUGUGUACUUAUGGGGCAUUCCAGCUAGUUCGGACACCAUUUGGUAUUUGCAUCUCUGGUUUUUUCAUAAUUUUUAUUGGCCCAUAACAUUGCGAAAACUGGGCCGAUUAAAUGACAAAAUCGGGCAUUUAAAAAUAAUUGUGUCAUUACAUUAAAAAAAGAUUCCUUAAGUUCAUUUCCACAAGGCAUUUUUUUAAAUUGCAUUUAUUUUUAUUUCAUUUCAAUGCCUAGUGGAAAUUCGGCAUUAGCCGCAGUUUGAUCAUUCGUGGUGGUCGCCGUUGUCCUUUUAUAGAGAGUAGUAUCACCCCGCUGUCGAAAUUCGACCACCUCCCUUUUUCAUACACUUUCACUUUGUUUGUGGCACUUUUUAGGUCCAUGACCACCUCUUGAUCGUCCAGGUGAGUAACAGUAUUAGGUCAAGUGAUAUCUUUUCCGUUAAAUAAUUUUAUAAUUCAUAGAAGCAGUAGGGAGGAAUCGAUUUGUUUGAGAUUUCGUUAGCGUAUUAAUAUAUAGAUAGUAGAUGGUGAAACCAAAGCGGGCAUUCAUAGGCUUAUACGGCAAUUGGAAUAACUCGGCUCUGGAGGCACCUAUCGCCUCAAUUUUUGGCAGGUCUCAAUUUGAUAUUGUUAAGGUUAAAACUUGUGUUUUUCCUCAUCAAAUUAAUAACCAAAAUUAUAAUCUAAUGUUUUUCAAAUGUUUAUUAUUAAUGGCUAUAUAGUGAUAUCGAAAAAGGAUACUAUUUAAAGUUUCAUUCUAAAACAAUGCGUAUAAAACCAAUAGUGCUACUUUUUUUGCUAAGUGCACCUACAUACCGCUAUACCAACCUACCAAUGGCUGCUUUUCAGCAGUCUAACCCUGUUUUGACCGGCGAUACCUACCCUACCAAUCGCAGAGGACGUCACCUGAUUUGUAAGUUGAAAUCAUUUAUUCUAUGGUUCGCCUGCUUCCGUUUGAUUUGCUGAAAUCUAAGGAUCUGACUUGAUUUUUUUACUAUUUUUAUUUUUUUUGUGUGGUUGUGUUCCCUUUGUGCAGCAUAUAUUUCGGGUGCUCUAUUUAAGACAGGCGCGGCUCCGCGGGGGAGGGAAGUUAUGCAGAAAACUCAACUCAACUCAAAAUUUUUAUUUUUUUGUAUUAUAACUUUACUGAGCGAUAUGUACCUACACGGGCGAUCAAAACUGAGUACAUGGUAAUUUUUGUUAAAUAUUUGAAAUGGUUUUCAGAUAAAAAUUUGUGUAUUAUUUAUUUAUAAAAAUAUGGUUCAAGCUUUAACUCGACUUACUUAUUUAUUCUACAAGAAAUUUACGUUUAAAUGAUAACAAUUGCAAAAAGCCGUCAACAAAAAAAAAA